GUGGGGAAUAUUGCGCAAUGGGCGGAAGCCUGACGCAGCGACGCCGCGUGGGGGAUGACGGCCUUCGGGUUGUAAACCUCUUUCACCCACGACGAAGCGAAAGUGACGGUAGUGGGAGAAGAAGCACCGGCCAACUACGUGCCAGCAGCCGCGGUAAUACGUAGGGUGCAAGCGUUGUCCGGAAUUAUUGGGCGUAAAGAGCUCGUAGGCGGUUUGUUGCGUCGGCUGUGAAAUCCCGAGGCUCAACCUCGGGUCUGCAGUCGAUACGAGCAAACUAGAGUGUUGCAGGGGAGACUGGAAUUCCUGGUGUAGCGGUGAAAUGCGCAGAUAUCAGGAGGAACACCGGUGGCGAAGGCGGGUCUCUGGGCAACAACUGACGCUGAGGAGCGAAAGCGUGGGGAGCGAACAGG
rnacentral:rRNA from 1 species